GACGAACGCUGGCGGCGUGCCUAAUACAUGCAAGUCGAACGCUGAAGAGAGGAGCUUGCUCUUCUUGGAUGAGUUGCGAACGGGUGAGUAACGCGUAGGUAACCUGCCUUGUAGCGGGGGAUAACUAUUGGAAACGAUAGCUAAUACCGCAUAACAAUGGAUGACACAUGUCAUUUAUUUGAAAGGGGCAAUUGUUCCACUACAAGAUGGACCUGCGUUGUAUUAGCUAGUAGGUGAGGUAAUGGCUCACCUAGGCGACGAUACAUAGCCGACCUGAGAGGGUGAUCGGCCACACUGGGACUGAGACACGGCCCAGACUCCUACGGGAGGCAGCAGUAGGGAAUCUUCGGCAAAGGGGGCAACCCUGACCGAGCAACGCCGCGUGAGGGAAGAAGGGUUUCGGGUCGGAAAGCUCUGUUGUAAGUCAAGAACGGGUGUGAGAGUGGAAAGUUCACACUGUGACGGUAGCUAACCAGAAAGGGACGGCUAACUACGUG
rnacentral:rRNA from 1 species